rnacentral:rRNA from 1 species
GUGCCAGCCGCCGCGGUAACACGUAGGGGGCAAGCGUUGUUCGGAAUUACUGGGCGUAAAGGGCAUGUAGGCGGUCCUGUAAGCCUGGCGUGAAAGGCUGUGGCUCAACCACAGCACUGCGCUGGGAACUGCAAGACUUGAGUCACGGAGGGGGAGCUAGAAUUCCGGGUGUAGGGGUGAAAUCUGUAGAUAUCCGGAAGAAUACCAGUGGCGAAGGCGAGCUCCUGGCCGAUGACUGACGCUGAGGUGCGAAAGCGUGGGGAGCAAACAGGAUUAGAAACCCCUGUAGUCC